UACGUAGGGCGCAAGCGUUGUCCGGAAUUAUUGGGCGUAAAGAGCUCGUAGGCGGUUUGUCGCGUCUGCUGUGAAAACUGGAGGCUCAACCUCCAGCCUGCAGUCGAUACGGGCAGGCUGGAGUUCGGUAGGGGAGACUGGAAUUCCUGGUGUAGCGGUGAAAUGCGCAGAUAUCAGGAGGAACACCGAUGGCGAAGGCAGGUCUCUGGGCCACUACUGACGCUGAGAAGCGAAAAGCAUGGGGAGCGAACAGG
rnacentral:rRNA from 1 species